AACGAACGCUGGCGGCAUGCCUAACACAUGCAAGUCGAACGAGACCUUCGGGUCUAGUGGCGCACGGGGGCGUAACGCGUGGGAACCUGCCCUUAGGUUCGGAAUAACUCCACGAAAGGGGUGCUAAUACCGGAUAAUGUCUUCGGACCAAAGAUUUAUCGCCUUUGGAUGGGCCCGCGUUGGAUUAGCUAGUUGUUAGGGUAAAAGCCUACCACGGCGACGAUCCAUAGCUGGUCUGAGAGAAUGAUCAGCCACACUGGGACUGAGACACGGCCCAGACUCCUACGCGAGGGAGCAGUGGGGAAUAUUGGACAAUGGGCGAAAGCCUGAUCCAGCAAUGCCGCGUGAGUGAUGAAGGCCUUAGGGUUGUAAAGCUCUUUUACCCGGGAUGAUAAUGACGGUACCGGGAGAAUAAGCUCCGGCUAACUCCGUG
rnacentral:rRNA from 1 species